rnacentral:rRNA from 1 species
GACGAACGCUGGCGGCGUGCUUAACACAUGCAAGUCGAACGGAAAGGCCCUGCUUUUGUGGGGUGCUCGAGUGGCGAACGGGUGAGUAACACGUGAGUAACCUGCCCUUGACUUUGGGAUAACUUCAGGAAACUGGGGCUAAUACCGGAUAGGAGCUCCUGCUGCAUGGUGGGGGUUGGAAAGUUUCGGCGGUUGGGGAUGGACACGCGGCUUAUCAGCUUGUUGGUGGGGUAGUGGCUUACCAAGGCUUUGACGGGUAGCCGGCCUGAGAGGGUGACCGGCCACAUUGGGAAUGAGAUACGGCCCAGACUCCUACGGGAGGCAGCAGUGGGGAAUAUUGCACAAUGGGCGGAAGCCUGAUGCAGCAACGCCGCGUGCGGGAUGACGGCCUUCGGGUUGUAAACCGCUUUCGCCUGUGACGAAGCGUGAGUGACGGUAAUGGGUAAAGAAGCACCGGCUAACUACGUG